rnacentral:rRNA from 1 species
CCUACGGGGGGCAGCAGUGGGGAAUAUUGGGCAAUGGGCGCAAGCCUGAUCCAGCAACGCCGCGUGAAGGAAGAAGGCUUUCGGGUUGUAAACUUCUUUUCUCAGGGACGAAGCAAGUGACGGUACCUGAGGAAGAAGCCACGGCUAACUACGUGCCAGCAGCCGCGGUACUACGUAGGUGGCAAGCGUUAUCCGGAUUUACUGGGUGUAAAGGGCGUGUAGGCGGGAAAGCAAGUCAGAAGUGAAAACCAUGGGCUCAACCUGUGGCCUGCAUUUGAAACUGUUUUUCUUGAGUACUGGAGAGGCAGACGGAAUUCCUAGUGUAGCGGUGAAAUGCGUAGAUAUUAGGAGGAACACCAGUGGCGAAGGCGGUCUGCUGGACAGCAACUGACGCUGAGGCGCGAAAGCGUGGGGAGCAAACAGGAUUAGAUACCCUUGUAGUC